rnacentral:rRNA from 1 species
UACAGAGGUCUCAAGCGUUGUUCGGAUUCAUUGGGCGUAAAGGGUGCGUAGGCGGCGCGGUAAGUCGGGUGUGAAAUCUUGGAGCUUAACUCCGAAACUGCAUUCGAUACUGCCGUGCUUGAGGACUGGAGAGGAGACUGGAAUUUACGGUGUAGCGGUGAAAUGUGUAGAUAUCGUAAGGAAGACCAGUGGCGAAGGCGGGUCUCUGGACAGUUCCUGACGCUGAGGCACGAAGGCCAGGGGAGCAAACGGG